rnacentral:misc_RNA from 1 species
GUGAGACCUUUCAACUGGAUUGGACCCAGAAUGGACUUCAUACCUGGUAUUGAUGGUCCAAGUGAGGGUGUUCCCAGGGUUCUGGCAUGCUUUAGCAAUGCUCUCUUGCGCCGUGAACCACUCAAGCUAGUGGAUGGUGGUCAAUCUCAGAGAUCUUUCAUUUACAUCAAAGAUGCCAUUGAAGCUGUUCUCUUGAUGAUUGAAAAUCCAGCCAGGGCUAAUGGUCACAUUUUCAAUGUUGGAAACCCUUACAAUGAAGUUACUGUUAGGCAGCUUGCCGAAAUGAUGACUGAGGUCUAUGCAAACGUAAGCGGAGAACCGGCUCUGGAGGUGCCAACAGUUGAUGUCUCCUCCAAGGAAUUUUAUGGUGAGGGAUAUGACGACAGUGACAAGAGAGUUCCAGACAUGACCAUAAUCAAUAGACAGCUUGAUUGGAACCCCAAGACAUCGCUGUGGGACUUGCUUGAAUCAACCCUCAC